rnacentral:lncRNA from 1 species
UUUUAGAUAAUCCAUAAUCCAUUUUAGAUAAUGUGAUGGAGCCAGGAGUAACAGUAGAGUGAAGAAUUUCGUGUUCAGAUACGAACUGAGAAUAUUCCAGAAAAAAGGCUUCAUGGAGAAGAAGGGAUAGAAUUGGAUACCAUUUGAAAAUAAGAAACUGAACAGCCUCAGCAAAUUCAUGAAUUCACAUGAAAUUCACACAAGAACAGUACAAUUUGAUAGGAAGCUGAGAAGAGGAAAUCAAGACCAGAAAUACAGAAGAGACAUAAAAUAGUAGGUGUUGAAAAUGGAGCUAGAACGAAACUCUCUUCACUAGUGUCUGUAAGGUGUUAACUUACCAAUUAUGUUCAUGUGUUCACAGAUCAUUUCAU